rnacentral:rRNA from 1 species
UACAGAGGGUGCGAGCGUUAAUCGGAAUUACUGGGCGUAAAGCGUGCGCAGACGGUUGCGUAAGUCAGAUGUGAAAUCCCCGGGCUCAACCUGGGAAUGGCAAUGGAUACUGGCGAGCUAGAGUGUGAUAGAGGGUGGUGGAAUUCCCGGUGUAGCGGUGAAAUGCGUAGAGAUCGGGAGGAACAUCAGUGGCGAAGGCGGCCAUCUGGAUCAACACUGACGCUGAAGCACGAAAGCGUGGGGAGCAAACAGG